rnacentral:rRNA from 1 species
GCCGUCAACUAACCAGGGGAACCUGACUCUUAAUUCGACGAUCCACGAAUCUCUUACCAGCCUUGGUAUUUGUCAGGCAGUAUAUCGCCGUUGUGCAGCUUCCGUGGAGACGCAGUAGAAGGUCGCGAAGUACUAAAAAGGUUUUAGGUAAGAUAGGUGGGGGCAGGGGGUUUAAUUUAACCUAAAACCUUAUACAACAGUAAGAAUUCAGGUAAAGAUGCUCCCUAUGGGCUGGGGAGGUUGGGUUACAGUUUUUAAUUGUUAUUAGAGGUUGGGUUGAAAUCCUAAUUGAAAGAGGACUUGGAAGUAAUCUCCUUUAAUUAAAGGGGGGUGAAUUAGGCUCUGCGGUGUGC